UGUGUAUUGAUUGCACGCGAUCUUAAUGC
rnacentral:sRNA from 1 species